AGAGUCCCUGCCUGUCUCCAACCGAUGGCCCCCUCCCUGCCUCAGACCGCACCCCAGCACCCGCCACUUAAACGCCAAAGUGGAGAAUCAAAGCUCUCUAGAGCUGGAAGGAACCUCAGAAACCAUCCCCCUCCAGCCCGUAUGCUUUACCCAAGGAGAAACUGAGGCUAGGGAGGCGAAGUGAGCUGUUGAAGGCCACGUCGCUGGGAGGAGCAGCCCUAGAGAGAGAAUCCAGGUCUCUAGACCCGUGCCAGUGGUCUGGGGGUGGGGAGGGUGUGACUCGGAGCCCUGAGCUCCAGUGACAGGCGGCUGGGACAGAGGAAGCGUUUGAGAGGCGGGGACCGCGUCAGUCUGGACGCUCUGGAGGGAAGCUUCAGCGGCCAUCCCUCCUCGCGCCUUUGUCCCGCCGCGUGGGACUCCAACUGGCCCCUCUGUCCGCGGUGGGGCGCGGAGGACUGGAAGCCGAGCGGGGCACGCAGCCGGGGCUAGCCGCUGGGCCGGGGGGGAGGGCGCGCGGGCCGCCACGGCGCCCUGGGUGGCCCGGGGAGGCUCCUGCCCGCCGCUCCCUGGGCACAGCUCGCCCUGCCGCCGCCCCCGUGCCACCCGGGCCGCCCCGGCCGCUGGAUCCGAGAGUCCGAGCCCCCGGCGGCCUCGCCUUUCAGCCCCGCGCCGCGGGGGCGCACAAGCCGCGGCGCCCAGGCUGGCAGCCUCCCUCCGCCGCUUCCCUGUCGGCGCCCCCGGGCCCGCGUCCGCGCCCCCCGCCACCUCCGUGCCGGCCCCUCCGCCUGCGCCCUCGCUCCCCGCUCCACCCGGGAUCUGAGCCCGGUCCCGUCUCCUGAGCGCUCCAUCCCCGGGUCUCUCCCUCUGACCUCCUGGGCCAGCGUCCUCGAAGUGUGGCCCCGGGACCGGCAGCAGCAGCAGCAUCGCCCGGAACUUGUUAGAAAUGCUGACUCGGGCCAGCCCAAACCUACUGAGUGAGAAUCUCCGGACCCAGCCAGCUGCCUGGCCCAGGCCCUCGGGAGACGGUCGCGCUCGCGCAAGUUUGAGAACCGCUGCUCUGGAGCGCGGACACCGCCUGUCCGACUCCGUCUGGGAGGGUAGACUGAGCUCCCUGAGGACACCGCUCCUGUCUCUGUUCCCUCAGUUAGCGGCUGUGCUGCGCAGCCCUUCACCUCUGCUGAUUGCUGACUGGUGAGGGAGGGAGAACGGUUCCUGCGGGCAGCCCUGCGAGCUUUAAUACAAAUUGUCUUUCCUGGAUCAUCACCAGAAGUGACUUAGAGAUUGACACAAAUUUCCUCAAAGAAUUGAUCCACUUAGCAUCUCUUUAGAUUAAAUCCCAAAUUGUUUACAACGGAGCUGGAAAAGCACUGACUCCGCUGUGAUGGCCUCGCGCACCUGGCCUGGCUCCCACAUCCAGCCUUCUGCCGGAGACCAUGCGCCCUUGCUUUGUGGAUGUCACUUACCGGCUGUAGGAAAAUCUAUCCAAGAAGGUUUGGGAUACAUUUGAAGAUAGCGAUCUAAAGGUUAUUCCCGUUUCAUAAGAAGAGAAUACUUCUCUGCUCCAGAAAAAUGUGGAAAAGUGAAAAAGAUGUGGACAUAUUUUGUCUUUUCCCCCAGAAUAUUCUUUGUUUUUUUUACAUCAUGUUUUCAGUAAAAUUUAAAACACGCGUAACUCUGUAAUGUGUCCCACAGUCCCUGAGGCCCAAGUCUCGGCGUUAACCUGGUGACGGCGAAGGUCAGCCCAGCGGCUGUGGCUUAGCGGAAUGUCUCCAACUAGAAGUCCAUUUUACCACCAGCAACCUGUGAGGCACUCUGCCCUUCACCUGAAGGAGUAAUUCUGAUGAUGGGGUCCGGAUCAGAGAGAGGGGGAGAUUUGGGCUAGGUUGGCCAGGUCCCUCGAGUCCCAUCUCCCAGGUGACCCUCCCACCUGCUUCUGAGUGUAUGAAAGGGCAGAGAGGGGCCGGGCCGGUGGUGCAGCGUUUAAGUUCGCAGGUUCCGCUUCAGCAACCCGGGGUUCACCGGUUCGGAUCCCGGGUGUGGACAUGGCACUGCUUGUCAAGCCAUGCUGUGGUAGGCGUCCCACAUAGAAAGUGGAGGAAGAUGGGCACGGAUGUUAGCUCAGGGCCAGUCUUCCUCAGCAAAAAGAGGAGGACUGGCAGUAGUUAGCUCAGGGCUAAUCUUCCUCAAAAAAAAAAAAAAAAAUUAGAUUUAAGGGCCAGCGCUGUGGCAUAGUGGUUAAGUUUGUGUGCUCCACUUGGGCAGCCAGGUGUUCACGGGUUGGGGUCCUGGUCAUAGACCUAGCACUUCUUGUCAGGCCAUGCUGUGAUGGCAUCCCACAUAAAAUAGAGCAAGAUUAGCACAGAUGUUAGCUCAGGGACAAUCUUCCUCAUCAAAAAAAAAAAAAUUAGAUUUACAGGAAAAAUUUAAGUCAGGUCUGGGCAGGAAAGCACAAAGACUGUGAGGAACAGAGAGGGGGAGUGUCAGGUUCACAGGGAGAGGGCGAAAGAGAAGGCAGGGAGGUUGGGUGUGGCCCCGGGCGGGGCGCUGGGCACAGGUGGAGGGGUGCUGCUUCUGGUGUGGAAUCGGUUCAGCGAACCUCUCUGCCCCUGAGCAACGGAGCAAGUGGGAGACGUGGGGAUGAAAAAGAGGAUCCGGAGCUGGACGGGGAGCUCUGAGUGGCGAGGGUAGGGAAAGGGCGUGAAGGGUGUACACAGAGCACCCCUGGCAUUUACUGAGAGUCUGCCGUGUGCCACAUACGGCUCUCUUAGUCCUCUCAGCCACUCCGAAUAUCAGCAUUACUGUCUCCAUUUUACAGAUGAAGAAACUGAGGCUCAGGAGCACACACUGGCACCAAGUGGACUAGGAAUCAAACCAUUGAACACAUUCUUUCACCUCCAGGUGCAGCAGCAACCUGGGAGACCCGAGUCCCUGUCCUCCUAGGCCUCAGCAGUGCGUGACCUGGAGUGGCAUCAAGCCAGCCUGGGGUUUCCAGGGACCUUCCUGACUGAUUCACCAGAAAGACCCUUUCAUCCCGUCCUGUGCCCCAGAAAGGAACUUACAGGGGCUGGUCCCGUGGCCGAGUGGUUAAGUUUGCGCGCUCCGCUGCAGGUGGCCCAGUGUUUCGUUGGUUCGAGUCCUGGGCGCGGACAUGGCACUGCUCGUCAGACCACGCUGAGGCAGCGUCCCACAUGCCACAACUAGAGGAACCCACAACGAAGAAUACACAACUAUGUACCGGGGGGCUUUGGGGAGAAAAUGGAAAAAAUAAAAUCUUUAAAAAAAAAAAAAAAAAGAAAGAAAGGAAC
ensembl:lncRNA